GAUGAACGCUGGCGGCGUGCCUAAUACAUGCAAGUCGAGCGAACGGACGAGAAGCUUGCUUUUCUGAUGUUAGCGGCGGACGGGUGAGUAACACGUGGAUAACCUACCUAUAAGACUGGGAUAACUUCGGGAAACCGGAGCUAAUACCGGAUAAUAUUUUGAACCGCAUGGUUCAAAAGUGAAAGACGGUGUUGCUGUCACUUAUAGAUGGAUCCGCGCUGCAUUAGCUAGUUGGUAAGGUAACGGCUUACCAAGGCAACGAUGCAUAGCCGAACGGAGAGGGUGGUCGGCCACACUGGAACUGAGACACGGUCCAGACUCCUACGGGAGGGAGCAGUAGGGAAUCGUCCGCAAUGGGCGAAAGCCUGACGGAGCAACGCCGCGUGAGUGAUGAAGGUCUUCGGAUCGUAAAACUCUGUUAUUAGGGAAGAACAGAUGUGUAAGUAACUGUGCACAUCUUGACGGUACCUAAUCAGAAAGCCACGGCUAACUACGUG
rnacentral:rRNA from 1 species